CCGGUGCGUUUCAAAGUGAAACUUUACGUGAAUCCGUGCACUUUCAUGAUCUACGAUGCAAACGAAGAUGACAUGAUAACAAGGGAUGAGCUCGAAGCGAUUUUUGGUGACGAAGAAACAACAGGAGAAUUGGCUAAGGCGCUUGACAAAAACGCUGACGAUCAGGUGGACGAGCAGGAAUUCAAGGAGGCCAUGCAUAAAUUUGUUGAAGGGUGUUAAACUGGCGUGAAAUAAUGAGUCCAUAAUUGUGUGAAAAUUGCUUGUAUACGAUUAGCUCAUACAUAAUUUUGAAUUAUUUCCAAAUGUCUGCUUAUUUCGAAACUACAUGUAUACAAAGCCAAACUGCCAUGGUUACGUACGAAAUGCACAUUGUUGACGUAUUUUAUAAUUUUUAUAUUUUAUGUAUUCUGAUGUCCAAGCUUUCAUAAUCAGUGUACACGUUUCUAUAUAUGUAAUCAAAUAAAUAAAUACAGUUAUACUGAUUUCAUGAGACAUUUUGACAGUAGUUGCCAGCAGUAGGCUAUGGUUCAAGCGUAUAUCCGUAAUUCUUUUCAAAUUAUACUUUGUACAAAAGCUUAAAUGCUUUUCAAAUGAAUGAUGUAUAGCCUCACAUUAGCCACUAAAUCAUUUGUGAUGUUCAAAAGAUAAACACUCUCUCGAUAUUUACCAGAAACAAAUUCUAACUUUAAUCGGUGUUUUGUAAUCGUUUAUACCAAUCUUCACGCACAUAAAUUAGUUUGAAGAUUCUCAUCCCGGGUUUGACAACAAACGGGUAGCGGGUAAAUUGAUACUGACAAUAUGGCCGACAUCUUUACUGUGUCUGCGAUCCAUAAUUCAGUUUUAUUUCAGUCAUGAAAAGCCUUAAAGGCAAAGAACAUAUGAUUGUUAGACGUGCUGUUGCAUAGAGGAACUCUAAAGCGAGCAACAGCUGAAAACAUUGCAGGAUAUGGACUGACCUUGUGUCAUUUUAAAGCCAUAUUUUCUCGUUCCGGAGAGGAUGACUUUAGGGAUACCUUCAUUGCUAAAAACAAUGCGGGGCUACCAAAAGUCACAAACGCAAAAAUAUAUUUUAUCUGAUGUAGUCCCUAAAAUCGGUCAGUUUUUCAGUGACGAAAAGUGACGGAACGAGAUAAUAUGGCUUUCAAAUGACACACGGCAAGUCAAAAUCACGCAAUGGCUUUAUACUGAUACUAAAUUAUGAACCUCUAGUUGUCAUUAAUCUGGCUGUUUUUAUUAAAAUAUAUGUUGUAUAUUAUUGUGCUACAUGUUUAAAGAAACAGUAUAACUAAAACAUCUGAAUGCUACUUAAUAUUGGGAAAACGUUGACAUUUUGUGGUGAACUGCGGCUGUAUUCAUAUGUUGCCUUUUUA